GAUGAACGCUGGCGGCGUGCCUAAUACAUGCAAGUCGAGCGAAUGGAUUAAGAGCUUGCUCUUAUGAAGUUAGCGGCGGACGGGUGAGUAACACGUGGGUAACCUGCCCAUAAGACUGGGAUAACUCCGGGAAACCGGGGCUAAUACCGGAUAACAUUUUGAACCGCAUGGUUCGAAAUUGAAAGGCGGCUUCGGCCGUCACUUAUGGAUGGACCCGCGUCGCAUUAGCUAGUUGGUGAGGUAACGGCUCACCAAGGCAACGAUGCGUAGCCGACCUGGGAGGGUGAUCGGCCACACUGGGACUGAGACACGGCCCAGACUCCUACGGGAGGCAGAAGUAGGGAAUCUUCCGCAAUGGACGAAAUUCUGACGGAGCAACGCCGCGUGAGUGAUGAAGGCUUUCGGGUCGUAAAACUCUGUUGUUAGGGAAGAACAAGUGCUAGUUGAAUAAGCUGGCACCUUGACGGUACCUAACCAGAAAGCCACGGCUAACUACGUGCCAGCCGCCGCAGUAA
rnacentral:rRNA from 1 species